CCCAUUGAUAGAUGGAGGCAGAAAUUUUAAGCAGCCUUUUAGAAGUCGGAAAACAGGUAGAAGACAGGAAGAGAAGGCUUGCUCUUCACCUCCAUGAGUGUGGGCCUGUGAAGUGAGGGCUUCUGCCAUCUCCCCACCACUGCUCAGCAGCAGGUGGAGGUGAAGCCCCACAUGGCCCCCAGUGAGGUUGUUACCACAGCCAUAGAUGUGGGGCGCUGGGGGAGCCUGACAGAAGCACUGGUGGAUCCUCACUGGUGGGAGGAUCCAUAACCAUAACACAGUUGGGGAAGUGAAGUGAUGUGACACAGUGCAGCAGGAAAAGGCCCUUUGUGACCCAAAUGCUGCCAGUGCCGUGGUGGCCAGGCCGGGGCCUGGGCUGUGGCAUGGCCGAGGUGGGCUGGGCCUCCGUGGACGCCGGCCUUCCCGCAGAGAACUGCGAAACCCCUCUGUGUGGCAGGGCCUGCUUUCUCCAUGUCGCAGCCUGCGUACAGUCAGCGGUUGUAUCAAACUGGCUCUUAAAUGCAGGGGGUGCCGCACCCCCCUCCCUCUCCUAGCAGAGUUUUCGUCAGCUCUCCGAGCAUCACGCCUCAGAGCCCCAGCGGCGUUAUCCCUGCUGAAGCUGCUGAUUAAAUUCAGAACCCCACAUGAGGCAAAGCAAAAGUUUUUACUGAGGGAAAGGAAGACAGAAGAUCUUAUAAUCACCAGCCUUUUUGCCAGAAUCUGUGGCAGUCCCAGGAGUCAGCCAGGGAAGGAGAAGUUUUCUCUCCUCUGGCUGGGAGGGCUGUGCCCUCAGCGCUGCCUGGGGAAGGGCGAGGUGAGGGGUGGACCAGAGGAGGUCAGGAGCUGUGCAGUACCGUGAGCUCUCUUAGUGUUUUCUGAAACCUUUGCAGUCAGUCCAUGGACCUAACCUUUAGCCUUCAUCAAGCUGUUGCUUUAAUGGACACGACUUUUUUUUUUUUUUUUUGUUAAGAGUUGGCACAAAUCUUUUCAGCCAUCUUAAAAACUAUAAAGGCAUUGCACAGUGCCCAGAAGGAACAAAAAGCAUCCUUGGUGUAGCCCCAUCAAAGGAAAUAUUGUUUGUAAAACAUCACCGUGUUAUGCUGAGCUAUCGUGGGCAAAAGAGACAGAAAGACAGAUGCGGAUAGAGACAAAGAUAUGGAGAUAUAUUCAGGUUGAAUUUGUCCUAUAUGAUUUUGGCCUUCUGCUUGCCAAAACAAAGCAAAAAAAUUGCUCAUGUUAUUAAACAUAAAUUAAAG
rnacentral:lncRNA from 1 species